AAUGAACGCUGGCGGCGUGCCUCAUACAUGCAAGUCGAACGGGAAAGGUUCUUUCGGGGACUGAGUAUAGUGGCGAACGGGUGAGUAACACGUGAGUGACCUGGCCUGAAGUUGGGAAUAACAUUUCGAAAGGGGUGCUAAUACCCGAUGUGGAUGUUUAUUUACCUGGAUAGACAUUUAAAGUGGGGGAUCCGCAAGGACCUCAUGCUUCAGGAUGGACUCGCGGCCUAUUAGGUAGUUGGUGAGGUAACGGCUCACCAAGCCGAUGAUGGGUAGCCGGCCUGAGAGGGUGACCGGCCACACUGGGACUGAGAUACGGCCCAGACUCCUACGGGAGGCAGCAGUAGGGGAUUUUGCGCAAUGGGGGAAACCCUGACGCAGCGACGCCGCGUGAAUGAAGAAGCCCUUCGGGGUGUAAAGUUCUGUUGAUAGGGAAGAAUGGUAGUAAGGUGAAUAGCCUUAUUAUGUGACGGUACCUAUCGAGGAAGCUCCGGCUAACUCCGUGCCAGCAGCCGCGGUAAUACGGAGGGAGCGAGCGUUAUUCGGAAUUACUGGGCAUAAAGGGCGCGUAGGUGGUUUUGUAAGUCAGAGGUGAAAUACCACGGCUCAACCGUGGGGGUGCCUUUGAUACUGCAGGACUUGAGUACAGGAUAGGUGAGUGGAAUUCCAGGUGUAGCGGUGAAAUGCGUAGAUAUCUGGAAGAACACCGGUGGCGAAGGCGGCUCACUGGACUGAUACUGACACUGAGGCGCGAAAGCGUGGGGAGCAAACAGGAUUAGAUACCCUGGUAGUCCACGCUGUAAACUAUGGGUACUAGGUGUUGGGAUGGUAGCAUCUCGGUGCCGAAGCUAAUGCAUUAAGUACCCCGCCUGGGGAGUACGACCGCAAGGUUGAAACUCAAAGGAAUUGACGGGGGCCCGCACAAGCGGUGGAGUAUGUGGUUUAAUUCGAAGCAACGCGAAGAACCUUACCUGGCCUUGACAUAUACGUGACUGGCGUAGAGAUACGCAGUUUCUCCCUAGUGGAGGACACGUAUACAGGUGCUGCAUGGCUGUCGUCAGCUCGUGUCGUGAGAUGUUGGGUUAAGUCCCGCAACGAGCGCAACCCUUGCCUUUAGUUGCUAACAGGUGAAGCUGAGCACUUUAGAGGGACAGCCUGCGUUAAGCAGGAGGAAGGUGGGGACGACGUCAAGUCAUCAUGGCCCUUACGGCCAGGGCUACACACGUACUACAAUGGACGGUACAGAGGGUUGCAAAGCCGCGAGGUGGAGCUAAUCCCAGAAAGCCGUCCCCAGUUCGGAUUGCAGUCUGCAACUCGACUGCAUGAAGUUGGAAUCGCUAGUAAUCGCGGAUCAGCACGCCGCGGUGAAUACGUUCCCGGGCCUUGUACACACCGCCCGUCAAGCCACGAAAGCUGGUUUUGCCCGAAGUCGCUGACCCUAACGGGAGGUGCCUAAGGUAAGGCUGGUGAUUGGGGCU
rnacentral:rRNA from 1 species